rnacentral:rRNA from 1 species
UACGGAGGGUGCAAGCGUUAAUCGGAAUUACUGGGCGUAAAGCGUGCGUAGGCGGUUCGUUAAGUCUGUUGUGAAAGCCCCGGGCUCAACCUGGGAAUGGCAAUGGAUACUGGCGAGCUAGAGUGUGUCAGAGGAUGGUGGAAUUCCCGGUGUAGCGGUGAAAUGCGUAGAGAUCGGGAGGAACAUCAGUGGCGGAAGGCGGCCAUCUGGGACAACACUGACGCUGAGGCACGAAAGCGUGGGGAGCAAACAGG